AUGCUGUACUAGAAUAUGACUUUUUUUGGCAUUUUUAUGCCUUACUAUACUGUGACGUUUUGUGCCUGACUAUACUAUGAUGUUUUUCCCCAUUUUUAUGACUUAAAGGGGACAUAUUGUGCUCCUUUUCAACAAGUUUGAAUAAGUCUCAGAGGUCCCCAAAGAUGUCUUUGAAGCUUCUUGCUAAAAAAUCCACUCCGAUCCUAUAUUUCAGCAUGCCUGUAAACCCCUGUUUUUCAGCCCUGUUCAGAACAGGCUGUUUCUGUGUCUGUAGCUUUAAAUGCAAAUGAGCUGUGCCUGACCACGCCCCUCUUCGGAAGGGGAUGCCGUUCAGGCUUCUGGCACCAUGUUCUGAUGUUUACCGUGACCGGCGACCUGGCGUCGGUAGCGAUUUGGUUCAACCACACGACUUUUAUCCAGAAUCUGACCCAGAGGGAGAGGCUGCUGAAGAAGUUCCAACUCUACAACUGCAGCAAGACGUUUCUGAAUGGUCUCGUACUGUCUCGUCAUUACUGGGAGCUCUUUUGAUGCUCCUGUGGAAACUGUGCAACCAUGCCCACAGAAGCUGAGAAUAUCUGCUGCUAGGAGAUACCACAGGUUACCAGAUGGCUAUGGGAGAUCGAGGAAGAUUUACCAUGUAUGGUAGACCGUCCUGGGUUGGAGCCGCUCUGCCUCAAUGUGUUCUCCCCUGCAACAUGUACUGCGCUGACUACGGUACUUUAUGGUUGAGA